UAAUCCAAAAGAGACCGUGCCUAGCGAGC
rnacentral:piRNA from 1 species